UACAAAGAAAAACGCACCAACCGAGAAUCUAAUCUAUGGCGUUAUUUAGAACCUGAGUAAACAAACGUCCAUUAGUUUAAAAUUCAAUUACACACAAAAAAAAUGAUCGCACAACGAGGAUAAAAGAAACUGCCGAAAAUGGGGGGUAUCGGUCAAGGCGACUAAGGGGUUCGUCGGAGAAUGGGCAGCGGCAUUCUUCAUAUAUUAUAACCGGUCGUUCUCGUCGAACUCGUCGCUUGCGACGAAGGGCUCGAUGAGUACAUACAUAUAUAUUAUAACAGCAUACUUCGAUCGCCAACCUUUAGGCGGCCGGACAGGAAGCCUCUGCGGGUAGAUACCACCAUCCUCCUAAUUGCUGCCGCAAAGCAUAUCAUAAGCUUAGUGGCGGCAUUCAUGUUGGGAUGUGUAAUGGGGACCUUAACCAGUUGUGCGGUGAGCUCGUUCAGUCAUGUAAGAAAGAAUAAAGUCAAAAACAUCGGCUUCACUAUGCUUCCAUCACCGCUAAUGUCCAAUAAUUAUAGUAAAAUUUGUUAAGCCCCGAUGAUUCGAAGUUGAAUCGAAAAAAUAUAAAAAAAUAAUCAGAAUAUUAGCUUCUUUGAUUAUAUAAUUGUUAAACAGUUGUUUCGUCGCAUCGUAUACAUUUCAGAUCCUUUUAUUUACAUUGUAAAUAUUUAGUUUAAAUAACAGCAAAUAAAAAGAACAAGAACUAUGUACAUGUUGCAAACAAAA